GUCCAUGUAGGGGCUAAGCAGGACUGUUAUAGAGCAGGUUUGGUAGUAAACCAGGUAGGCAGGAUAAAACAGUGUUGCAAGUAAUCCAGGUUGCUUCUCAGGAGCCAGGAUCUGAAGUCUUUUCAGUAUGAACAUCAACUUUAAUGUAAAGGCCACUUGGUUUGUCAGGUGUGGCCUUUUAUUUAUGCUAUACAGGUGUGAGACUGAGGUGACUCGUGGCUAGGGAGGCCACUAUAGGCGAGAAACAGGUACUUUACUUAAAGGAACAGAAAGAAAUGAACAUAGAACUUAUCUGUCAGGAUAAGAUCCUGACAGAUACACAGGAUGAGAAGAGCUAUAGAAUAAAGAAUUUUCAUCACUCUACAAAAGUGAUCUACCUAUUAACCUGCCCAUGUGGCUUAAAAUAUGUUGGACGCACAAAACGUUGUCUUCAUAUACGUAUUGAAGAGCAUGUCCACAAUACGAGAAAGAAAUUUGAGGGUCAUAGCAUUUCCAACCAUUUCAGGUCCACACAUAAUGGUUCACUGAAAGGAUUACAAUUCACAGGCAUUCAGAGAUUGUUAGGUAAUUGGAGGAGAGGAGACUUAAUAAAAAGUUUAGGAAGGCUAGAAAUGCAACACAUUUUUAAUUUAAACACACUCCAACCACAAGGCCUUAAUAUUGACUUUGAGUCAUGCCAUUUUUAAUGAAUACUUUUUGGAUAAUUUUAUGAAUAUUUAUUAUGAAUAUUCAUUUAUUUAU